rnacentral:sRNA from 1 species
UUAUAAUUGCGUUAGGGAUUGAAGCGACAUCCUUUUAUAAUCCUGUCACCCCGAGCGAAGUCGAAGGGUUUCUGACAGGUUAUAAAAGAUAUAGCCGAAAGCCCGACCCUGA